AAGAAAUAUGAAUGAUUUAUAUCAUUAAUUUGACUUACGCGGUACAAGCGGUUCGAAAUGUACGGUAGACUCAAUUGCGAAUGUACAGCGUUUGACAAAAAUGUCUUUGACGUUGAUAAACAGGUAUAACGAUAUGACUUUCAAGGAAUCUACGCAAUGCCAACGGAAAAGCAUGCGCGAAAUUUAAACUGGAAAACGAAGUGUGAAAAAAAUGACGUGACGCGAAAGAAGAAAAAUUAUCAAUAUAUCUUCGUUCAGGCAAACGAAAACGUGUCGCAAAAAAGUCGUAGUAAAAACCAUCCACCACAAUACUUUAACGAGGUAGACGUCCUCAUCCAUUGGGUACAAGCAUACGUGAUCUUGUACCAACCUAACAACAUAUAAGCACGGUGGGACAACCCUCUAGAUUUUAUAAUAUCGAUGCGUGGGCCCCCCCGGUAGACGAAUUGGAGCAUAACGUCUAGGCUUCAGCAUACAGCAGUUGAAGGAAAACCGGAAGAGGAAGUAUCCGCUAAGGGUUUUUCCAACUGGAGCGAAACACGUGAACCGGAAAGAAUGUUAAAUUGAAUUCUGGACAGUAGGAAACUUUUAGACGGUACCAAAUAGACCAGUAAAUUAUAAACAA